GUUACGGUUAACGGUUAACCGUA
rnacentral:miRNA from 1 species